rnacentral:rRNA from 1 species
GACAGAGGGUGCAAACGUUGUUCGGAAUUACUGGGCGUAAAGCGUGAUGUAGGCGGCUACGUAAGUCGGAUGUGAAAGCCCCGGGCUCAACCCGGGAAGCUGCACUCGAUACUGCGUAGCUUGAGUACCGGAGAGGUUGGUGGAAUUCUCGGUGUAGAGGUGAAAUUCGUAGAUAUCGAGAGGAACACCGGUGGCGAAGGCGGCCAACUGGACGAGUACUGACGCUGAGACACGAAAGCGUGGGGGAGCAAACAGG